CCUACGGGAGGCAGCAGUGGGGAAUAUUGCACAAUGGGCGCAAGCCUGAUGCAGCGACGCCGCGUGCGGGAUGACGGCCUUCGGGUUGUAAACCGCUUUUGACUGGGAGCAAGCCCUUCGGGGUGAGUGUACCUUUCGAAUAAGCACCGGCUAACUACGUGCCAGCAGCCGCGGUAAUACGUAGGGUGCAAGCGUUAUCCGGAAUUAUUGGGCGUAAAGGGCUCGUAGGCGGUUCGUCGCGUCCGGUGUGAAAGUCCAUCGCUUAACGGUGGAUCCGCGCCGGGUACGGGCGGGCUUGAGUGCGGUAGGGGAGACUGGAAUUCCCGGUGUAACGGUGGAAUGUGUAGAUAUCGGGAAGAACACCAAUGGCGAAGGCAGGUCUCUGGGCCGUCACUGACGCUGAGGAGCGAAAGCGUGGGGAGCGAACAGGAUUAGAUACCCUGGUAGUCCACGCCGUAAACGGUGGAUGCUGGAUGUGGGGACCAUUCCACGGUCUCCGUGUCGGAGCCAACGCGUUAAGCAUCCCGCCUGGGGAGUACGGCCGCAAGGCUAAAACUCAAAGAAAUUGACGGGGGCCCGCACAAGCGGCGGAGCAUGCGGAUUAAUUCGAUGCAACGCGAAGAACCUUACCUGGGCUUGACAUGUUCCCGACAGCCGUAGAGAUACGGUCUCCCUUCGGGGCGGGUUCACAGGUGGUGCAUGGUCGUCGUCAGCUCGUGUCGUGAGAUGUUGGGUUAAGUCCCGCAACGAGCGCAACCCUCGCCCCGUGUUGCCAGCACGUUAUGGUGGGAACUCACGGGGGACCGCCGGGGUUAACUCGGAGGAAGGUGGGGAUGACGUCAGAUCAUCAUGCCCCUUACGUCCAGGGCUUCACGCAUGCUACAAUGGCCGGUACAACGGGAUGCGACCUCGUGAGGGGGAGCGGAUCCCUUAAAACCGGUCUCAGUUCGGAUUGGAGUCUGCAACCCGACUCCAUGAAGGCGGAGUCGCUAGUAAUCGCGGAUCAGCAACGCCGCGGUGAAUGCGUUCCCGGGCCUUGUACACACCGCCCGUCAAGUCAUGAAAGUGGGUAGCACCCGAAGCCGGUGGCCCAACCUUUUGGGGGGAGCCGUCUAAGGUGAGACUCGUGAUUGGGACUAAGUCGUAACAAGGUAGCCGUACCGGAAGGUGCGGCUG
rnacentral:rRNA from 1 species